rnacentral:rRNA from 1 species
AACGUAGGUUCCGAGCGUUAUCCGGAUUUACUGGGCGUAAAGCGCGUUCAGGCGGUUUGGCAAGUCGGAUGUGAAAACCCGAAGCUCAACUUCGGGCCUGCAUCCGAAACGUGCCCGACUAGAGGUAGGUAGGGGAGAUCGGAAUUCCCGGUGUAGGCGGUAAUGAUGCGUAGAUAUCGGGAGGAACACCAGUGGCGAAGGCGGCU